AGUCCUUGCUAUAGUACGCUAAAACUGGGAUAAAUCGAUGUUUUCGAAAUGCUAUUAUUUUAGUUGCUGUACCCAUGUAAAUAUCUCGACUUUCAUCCAGGAACGAUACUCUACAUGCAGGGAAGAAGAUUUUAGCCGAUCAAGUAUAUUGACCCCAUUAGGAAGCUUCAAAACUAACCUUGCCUUGCUCUGGCGCGAGCUGUAAAAACAUUCUGAUGUUGCACAUUGUAUUUUGUCGUAAAACUGCGCGUUUUCCGUUGCUCUCGUGGAAAAUGUACCUCUUGCGAUAAAAGAAAAUAUGGAUAAAGCGGAGUAUAACGAGGUUUUCUGAUGUGAAGAGAAUAAAAUAGAGUUGCUACAAGACUGAUUAAAAUUCAAAAUGGAGAACAAGCAACUCUUCAUACUAUAAUUGAAGGCGGAAAGGAAAAUACCAAAAACUUUG